AGUCGCCGCGGGAAUACAGAGGGUGCGAGCGUUAAUCGGAUUUACUGGGCGUAAAGCGUGCGUAGGCGGCUUUUUAAGUCGGAUGUGAAAUCCCUGAGCUUAACUUAGGAAUUGCAUUCGAUACUGGGAAGCUAGAGUAUGGGAGAGGAUGGUAGAAUUCCAGGUGUAGCGGUGAAAUGCGUAGAGAUCUGGAGGAAUACCGAUGGCGAAGGCAGCCAUCUGGCCUAAUACUGACGCUGAGGUACGAAAGCAUGGGGAGCAAACAGGAUUAGAUACCCGAGUAGUCCCUGUCUCUUAUACA
rnacentral:rRNA from 1 species